UUACUUUGGCAGAAUAGUGUGAUGGAUUUAGAAUUCAUUGAUGUAAAAUAAUUUUACAAGUAAUA
rnacentral:tRNA from 1 species